rnacentral:rRNA from 1 species
GACGAACGCUGGCGGCGUGCUUAACACAUGCGAGUCGAACGGAAGGGCCCUGCUUUUGUGGGGUGCUCGAGUGGCGAACGGGUGAGUAACACGUGAGUAACCUGCCCUUGACUUUGGGAUAACUUCAGGAAACUGGGGCUAAUACCGGAUAGGAGCUCCUGCUGCAUGGUGGGGGUUGGAAAGUUUCGGCGGGUGGGGAUGGACUCGCGGCUUAUCAGCUUGCUGGUUGGGUAGUGGCUUACCAAGGCUUUGACGGGUAGCCGGCCUGGGAGGGUGACCGGCCACAUUGGGACUGAGAUACGGCCCAGACUCCUACGGGAGGCAGCAGUGGGGAAUAUUGCACAAUGGGCGGAAGCCUGAUGCAGCAACGCCGCGUGCGGGAUGACGGCCUUCGGGUUGUAAACCGCUUUCGCCUGUGACGAAGCGUGAGUGACGGUAAUGGGUAAAGAAGCACCGGCUAACUACGUG